UACGUAGGGUGCGAGCGUUGUCCGGAUUUAUUGGGCGUAAAGAGCUCGUAGGCGGUUUGUCGCGUCGGCCGUGAAAUCUCCACGCUUAACGUGGAGCGUGCGGUCGAUACGGGCAGACUUGAGUUCGGUAGGGGAGACUGGAAUUCCUGGUGUAGCGGUGAAAUGCGCAGAUAUCAGGAGGAACACCGGUGGCGAAGGCAGCACUCUGGGACGGUACUGACGCUGAGACGCGAAAGCGUGGGGAGCGAACAGG
rnacentral:rRNA from 1 species